rnacentral:rRNA from 1 species
GUACGCUGGCGGCACGCCUAAUACAUGCAAGUCGAACGAAGUAGCAAUACUUAGUGGCAGACGGGUGAGUAACAUGUGGGUAUCUUCCCUUUGGUGAGGAAUAACACGAGGAAACUUGUGCUAAUACCUCAUAAGUCUUUACAGAGAAAGCUUUAUGCGCCAUUGGAUGAGCCUGCACUUGAUUAGUUUGUUGGUGGGGUAAUGGCCUACCAAGACAAUGAUCAAUAGCUGAUUUGAGAGGAUGAUCAGCCACAUUGGGACUGAGACACGGCCCAAACUCCUACGGGAGGCAGCAGUAGGGAAUCUUGCACAAUGGAGGAAACUCUGAUGCAGCGAUGCCGCGUGAGUGAAGAAGGCCUUUGGGUUGUAAAGCUCUUUCGUCGGGGAAGAAAAUGACUGUACCCGAAUAAGAAGGUCCGGCUAACUUCGUGCCAGCAGCCGCGGUAAUACGAAGGGACCUAGCGUAGUUCGGAAUUACUGGGCUUAAAGAGUUCGUAGGUGGUUAAAAAAGUUGAUGGUGAAAUCCCAGAGCUUAACUCUGGAACUGCCAUCAAAACUUUUUAGCUAGAGUAUGAUAGAGGAAAGCAGAAUUUCUAGUGUAGAGGUGAAAUUCGUAGAUAUUAGAAAGAAUACCAAUUGCGAAGGCAGCUUUCUGGAUCAUUACUGACGCUGAGGAACGAAAGCAUGGGUAGCGAAGAGGAUUAGAUACCCUCGUAGUCCAUGCCGUAAACGAUGUGUGUUAGACGUUGGAAAUUUAUUUUCAGUGUCGCAGUGAAAACAAUAAACACACCGCCUGGGGAGUACGACCGCAAGGUUAAAACUCAAAUGAAUUGA